GCUCAACAGCUGGCCUCUGUAGCUCAGUUGGUUAGAGCGUUGCUCCGGAAUCGCAGGGCCGUAGGUUCGAUUCCUACUAGAGGAACUUGUGCUGCAUUUUUCGCAGUCGUUCCUGGUUAGGUCUUAAAAUGUAUAUAUUCUCACUUGGAUUACAAACCCUAACAUCCUAAUAUUAAUUCCACCAAGUGAAGUGCAAGAACUAAGUUAUUCAAGUCCACCUUAUCACAACCCGCACACCCGAUUACCUAUAUAUACAUGAACUCACGGUCACAGCUCAACAGCUGGCCUCUGUAGCUCAGUUGGUUAGAGUGCUGUUCCGGAAUCGCAGGGCCGUAGGUUCGAUUCCUACCAGAGGACCUUGUGCUGCAUUUUUCGCAGUCGUUCCUGUUUAGGUCUUAAAAUGUAUAUAUUCUCACUUGGAUUACAAACC
rnacentral:lncRNA from 1 species